UACAGAGGUCUCAAGCGUUGUUCGGAUUCAUUGGGCGUAAAGGGUGUGUAGGUGGCGCGCUAAGUCGGGUGUGAAAUUUUGGAGCUUAACUCCGAAACUGCAUUCGAUACUGGCGUGCUUGAGGACUGGAGAGGAGACUGGAAUUCAUGGUGUAGCAGUGAAAUGCGUAGAGAUCAUGAGGAAGACCAGUGGCGAAGGCGGGUCUCUGGACAGUGCCUGACACUGAGACACGAAGGCCAGGGGAGCAAACGGG
rnacentral:rRNA from 1 species